rnacentral:rRNA from 1 species
AUGUCGAGGACAGGCGCUCUGCAUCUGGCUUCGGGCCUGGGAGGGCUGAUCGGCAAGGAGCAAGUCAAGUCGUCGGUGGAACAGUACGAGAAGUACCAUGACCUUCACGGAGGCGAAGCCAAAUCGAGGGCAUCCAACUAUGCUGAUGUGGCCAACAAGUACUAUGACCUUGUCACCAGCUUCUACGAGUACGGAUGGGGCGAGUCGUUCCAUUUCGCAAACAGAUGGGAAGGAGAGACUUUGCGUGAGAGCAUCAAGCGGUAUGAGCAUUUCAUAGCCUUGCAACUUGGCCUCACUGAUGGGAUGAAAGUGUUGGACGUGGGAUGCGGCAUCGGAGGGCCUCUCAGAGAGAUCGCGAGAUUCAGCUCCGCGUCGGUGACGGGUUUGAACAACAAUGAGUACCAGAUCACAAGGGGCCAGGAGCUCAUCGAUUUAGCCGGCCUGAGUAAACGAUGCAACUUUGUCAAGGGGGACUUCAUGCACAUGCCGUUCCCCGACGACACAUUCGACGCGGCGUACGCCAUCGAGGCCACAUGCCACGCACCUGACGCGGUACAAUACUUUCAUGUCCAAGACUGUCAGAGCCAACUUUAUUUCAUCUCCUUGACGGUAUGUACGAGUCCAUGGCAGGUCGGGUGCUACAUGGAGAUCCACCGUGUGCUGCGACCCGGGCAGCCCAUGGCGUUCUACGAGUGGUGCAUGACGGAGCGGUUCGACCCGGGGAACCCACGGCACGUGGCCGCCAAGGCCGAGAUCGAGCUCGGCAACGGCCUCAUCGACAUCCGCACCACCGCGCAGUGCCUCCAGGCCGUCAAGGACGCCGGCUUCGAGGUAGGAGCAUCUGUCAGUCACCUCUGGACCCCGGACGCCGGCGCGUCGUGGACGAGCGCCAACGGCUUCCGGCUCAGCCGCGUCGGGCGCCUCGUCACCCGCGCCAUGGUGAAGGCCAUGGAGCGCCUCGGCGUCGCGCCGGAGGGGAGCGUCAGGGUCUCCGGCCUCAUGGAGACCGCCGGCGAGGGCCUCGUCAAGGGAGGCAGGGAAGGGAUCUUCACGCCCAUGUUCUUCGUGCUGGCUCGCAAGAAACCCAACCUGCUGACAGGGACUGAGAACGUCUGA